UACAGAGGGGGCAAGCGUUGUUCGGAAUUACUGGGCGUAAAGGGCGCGUAGGCGGCCUGCUAAGUCGAACGUGAAAUCCCCGGGCUCAACCCGGGAACUGCGUCCGAUACUGGCAGGCUUGAAUCCGGGAGAGGGAUGUGGAAUUCCAGGUGGUAGCGGUGAAAUGCGUAGAUAAUCUGGAGGAACACCGGUGGCGAAGGCGGCAGUCCUGGACCGGUAGUUGACGCUGAUGCGCGAAAGCCAGG
rnacentral:rRNA from 1 species